CUUGAGUUGGAAAUGGAACCCCGUGUUUCUAGAAGUGAAGUGGGUUUUGGUUUCACCUUUACUGGACGUGUAGAGCAGAGCAGCCUGGAAACAGGCAAGAGACGAGUCCGCAAGAGAGUCUUCGAUCGACAUCUGGACGGCGAAGGCAGAGUCUGGGUUCACAUUAGCCAGGGACAGCAGAUCUCUGAAGGGGUGAAGGAGGAGGCCUAAUGGCAGCCGGGCCUUGUUGAGUAACGCCUGGGUCUGAGGAAUGCUGGUCAGGGUGCACCGGAACGUCCUGUGUAUCUGUGAUGAGGAAGUACCUGGAUAGCUGCCUCCUUCGAGGGAAUCAUAGUUGUUGGGAACUGGAGACGCGCUGCCAGUACUGGAGGAGGAAGUGUCACCGCCUGAGACACGAAAACAAGAGAAGGAUUUCAAUAAUGAGAUAAAUACUUAGAGCAGUCUGAUGCAAACUGAGGACAGACUGAAGCAAUACAAUGAAUAAAAAGAUAAACAAAUCCUAAGAAAAUAUUAAAGACAUGUAAAUGACAGAAGCAGGAUGAAGAUAAAAGAAAAAUAAAGAAAACAAAAGCUAAGAAAAAAAAUGCAGAUAUUUGUUAGACCUGUAAGAUUCUGGGAUUAAGGCAAAGAGUGAGAAGGAGACUGAGGAGCUGUUUUAAAGGGUAUGAUUACAUUAUGUGACUUGAAAUGUAUACCUCUGUUCCUACUGAAGUUUUGUUAUUUUUGUGUUUUAGUGUUUUUAACUUGUCAUUAUGAGGCUGAAUAUGACAAGCCUAUUUUAGAGGAAUUAUCAGCUGAUGUUUUUGUUUGUGUUUGCUUUUGCUCCAUGUCUGUUAUUAAAUAAAGUCCUUCUUUGGAUGUUCACCAAGACUACAUAAGGUGACAGAAGGUAUAAGAUUGUGUGCACAAUUGGUAAGCAAGUCGGAGCAGUAGAGGAGAGGAGUGUGGAAAUCCCAGGGGAGCUCUGAAAAUAAUGAGUUAAGUCCAUGAUGUGUUAAAAGGCAAAAAAAAAAAAAAAAGAAAUGCAAGAGG